rnacentral:rRNA from 1 species
UGCGUAGGCGGGUCUUUAAGUCAGGGGUGAAAUCCUGGAGCUCAACUCCAGAACUGCCUUUGAUACUGAAGAUCUUGAGUCCGGGAGAGGUGAGUGGAACUGCGAGUGUAGAGGUGAAAUUCGUAGAUAUUCGCAAGAACACCAGUGGCGAAGGCGGCUCACUGGCCCGGUACUGACGCUGAGGCACGAAAGCGUGGGGGAGCAAACA